CUUCCUCAGCCUUACUCCAGGGACUUUCUUGUCCAUAGAGUGCCCUGGCAUUGCCUGAGGAGAAAGCAGAAAGCACAUUUCCCUCCCCAUUAAGAGCCUGAUCUUCUUUUGGGGCCUACAUUUGGAGCUGACAUU
rnacentral:snoRNA from 15 species